GGUGGUAUAGCUCAGUGGUAGACCAUGUGCUUGCUGUGCACAGGAUUCUGGGUUCAAUCCGCAGUGUCUCCA
rfam:Camelus ferus unplaced genomic scaffold scaffold71869, whole genome shotgun sequence.